AUUGGGGUCUGCAACUCGACCCCAUGAAGUCGGAGUCGCUAGUAAUCGCAGAUCAGCAACGCUGCGGUGAAUACGUUCCCGGGCCUUGUACACACCGCCCGUCAAGUCACGAAAGUCGGUAACACCCGAAGCCGGUGGCCCAACUCUUUGAGAGGGAGCCGUCGAAGGUGGGACUGGCGAUUGGGACUAAGUCGUAACAAGGUAGCCGUACCGGAAGGUGCGGCUGGAUCACCUCCUUUCUAAGGAG
rnacentral:rRNA from 1 species